rnacentral:lncRNA from 1 species
GUAGACCUUGCACACGAUGCCAUCUCGGGCGCUGUGUGUUUUUCCUCGUUUUGGCUCUUUUGAGCGACGCUGUGGGCCUGGUCCUUCUGUUGCUGGGGAUCUUUGCUGCACUAGACUACUGGGACUUCUUUGUCUACACAGGAUCUCUGAUCCUGGCUCUGAGCCUACUGUUCUGGCUGGCCUGGUAUUCCUUCAAUAUCGAGGUACCUCUUGAAAAGCUGGACUUUUAGUGUGGCCAUGGACAAGAGGGAUGAUGCAGAUGGCAUAGGCAGAUGUGAACCCGAGGACCCUGGACAUGAAGCCCCCACACAGACCAGGUAGGUCCCACUCAUUGCUUCCAAGUCAGAACAAAGCCCUCAAAGCUCCAGUUCAUAGAUGGAAGAAAUCUGAGUCUCAGAUCUGUUUAAAGUACUCCAAGGGAAAUCGCAUGGGUCUGUCUGGCCCAGAAGAAUCAAAUCAAGGUGUGCGGUCUUUGCAGCACACCCUCCGAUAGUAUGCAAGAGGGACCCAGAUGCUGCGAUGACGGAGCAUUCACAUCACCCACCAGGAUAGCCGCGAAUGACUGUGAAUACCAGGACUCUCUCUGGAGCCCAAUCUCCCCGUGCCAAACUGCUGCUGCUGCUGCCAGCACCCCAGAAGUUUGUGGAGGACAGAGGAGCCAUGAAUUUCCACCAGUGGGGCUUUUAUAGGAACCACUCCACUCCUGGCUUAGAUACCAAAGAAACUUCUGGUCAAAGUCUUUUCAAAAAACUGCCAACUGAAAUCGGGGUCUCCCGUGAGCAUG